UCCCUGAUGGUCCAGUGGUCAGAACUCGGCACUUCCACUGCUGGGUCCUGGGUUCAAACCCUGACUGCGGAA
rnacentral:tRNA from 1 species